ACACUGGGGGAGAGUGGGGUGACAUGAGUGACUCCAAGGAACCAAGACUGCAGCAGCUGGGCCUCCUGGGUGAGGCUGGGUUGGGACGCUGGGAUUCUGGGAAGGGGGAAGGGAUGGCCAGCCAUGGCCUCAGCCUGCCCAGGCUCUGAUUUCACGUCUAUCCAUUCAGAGGAGGAACAGCUGAGAGGCCUUGGAUUCCGACAGACUCGAGGAUACAAGAGCUUAGCAGGGUGUCUUGGCCAUGGUCCCCUGGUGCUGCAACUCCUCUCCUUCACGCUCUUGGCUGGGCUCCUUGUCCAAGUGUCCAAGGUCCCCAGCUCCAUAAGUCAGGAACAAUCCAGGCAAGACGCGAUCUACCAGAACCUGACCCAGCUUAAAGCUGCAGUGGGUGAGCUCUCAGAGAAAUCCAAGCUGCAGGAGAUCUACCAGGAGCUGACCCAGCUGAAGGCUGCAGUGGGUGAGCUUCCAGAGAAAUCUAAGCUGCAGGAGAUCUACCAGGAGCUGACCCGGCUGAAGGCUGCAGUGGGUGAGCUUCCAGAGAAAUCUAAGCUGCAGGAGAUCUACCAGGAGCUGACCUGGCUGAAGGCUGCAGUGGGUGAGCUUCCAGAGAAAUCUAAGAUGCAGGAGAUCUACCAGGAGCUGACUCGGCUGAAGGCUGCAGUGGGUGAGCUUCCAGAGAAAUCUAAGCAGCAGGAGAUCUACCAGGAGCUGACCCGGCUGAAGGCUGCAGUGGGUGAGCUUCCAGAGAAAUCUAAGCAGCAGGAGAUCUACCAGGAGCUGACCCGGCUGAAGGCUGCAGUGGGUGAGCUUCCAGAGAAAUCUAAGCAGCAGGAGAUCUACCAGGAGCUGACCCAGCUGAAGGCUGCAGUGGAACGCCUGUGCCACCCCUGUCCCUGGGAAUGGACAUUCUUCCAAGGAAACUGUUACUUCAUGUCUAACUCCCAGCGGAACUGGCACGACUCCAUCACCGCCUGCAAAGAAGUGGGGGCCCAGCUCGUCGUAAUCAAAAGUGCUGAGGAGCAGAACUUCCUACAGCUGCAGUCUUCCAGAAGUAACCGCUUCACCUGGAUGGGACUUUCAGAUCUAAAUCAGGAAGGCACGUGGCAAUGGGUGGACGGCUCACCUCUGUUGCCCAGCUUCAAGCAGUAUUGGAACAGAGGAGAGCCCAACAACGUUGGGGAGGAAGACUGCGCGGAAUUUAGUGGCAAUGGCUGGAACGACGACAAAUGUAAUCUUGCCAAAUUCUGGAUCUGCAAAAAGUCCGCAGCCUCCUGCUCCAGGGAUGAAGAACAGUUUCUUUCUCCAGCCCCUGCCACCCCAAACCCCCCUCCUGCGUAGCAGAACUUCACCCCCUUUUAAGCUACAGUUCCUUCUCUCCAUCCUUCGACCUUCACAAAAUCUCUGGGACUGUUCUUUGUCAGAUUCUUCCUCCUUUAGAAGGCUGGGUCCCAUUCUGUCCUUCUUGUCAUGCCUCCAAUUUCCCCUGGUGUAGAGCUUGUUUUUCUGGCCCAUCCUUGGAGCUUUAUGAGUGAGCUGGUGUGGGAUGCCUUUGGGGGUGGACUUGUGUUCCAAGAAUCCACUCUCUCUUCCUUUUGGAGAUUAGGAUAUUUGGGUUGCCAUGUGUAGCUGCUAUGUCCCCUGGGGCGUUAUCUUAUACAUGCAAACCUACCAUCUGUUCAACUUCCACCUACCACCUCCUGCACCCCUUUGAUCGGGGACUUACUGGUUGCAAGAGCUCAUUUUGCAGGCUGGAAGCACCAGGGAAUUAAUUCCCCCAGUCAACCAAUGGCACCCAGAGAGGGCAUGGAGGCUCCACGCAACCCCUUCCACCCCCACAUCUUCCUUUGUCUUAUACAUGGCUUCCAUUUGGCUGUUUCUAAGUUGUAUUCUUUAUUUUAUUAUUAUUAUUACUAUUUUUCGAGAUGGAGUUUCACUCUUGUCGCUCAGGCUGGAGUGCCAUGGCGCGAUCUUGGCUCACUGCAACCUCUGCCUCCCGGGUUCAAGUGAUUCUCCUGCCUCAGCCUCACGAGUAGCUGGAAUUACAGGCAGGCGCCACCAGACCCGGCUAAUUUUUUGUAUUUUUAGUACAGAUGGGGUUUCUCCGUGUUGGUCAGGCUGGUCUUGAACUCCCGACCUCAGAUGAUCUGCCCGCCUCGGCCUCCCAAAAUUGCUGGGAUUACAGGUGUGAGCCACCGCGCCUGGCCUAUUAUUUUUUGUAAGAAUAAAACAGGUUUAUUGGGAUUUGGGACUCUGAACAGUUCUGUCUCUACUACCUGAUCUCCUCCUACCACGACUUUGGGAUCUAGAGGAGCUUUGGCUCCGGCUGUGACGGCUCCGGCCGUUCUCACUGCGGCUGCACCGGCCCCCGCUGCGGUCACUAUUUCUUCCUCUGCUAGGUGAAUUGUGCCUCUCCUGGCUCUUUGACAUGUGCUAGUGAGAUUUCUUCCUUUUCCUUUCGGAUUCCCCAUUUCUUUUGUAGGAAUGGUCUGGACUAGGGUUCUCCUUCCCCGCAGCCUGUAGUAUUCAUCGUGGUGGCCCACCCUCUCUCUCCCCUUGGAGCUCUUGCCAAAGGAGGAGACAAGCAGAGGUCUCUAUUGGAUUUCUCAACACCUGAAGAAAGUUGCAGUGUUUUCCUCUUGGACAUUGUUGUAUUUCAAAUAAACCACAAAUCAUCAUUUUCCACCGAGCCACUGGGCAGAAUUCACACUGAAGCUGUCGUCCUGCGUACAUACCAUCGUCCGUUAAACAGAGAAAGAGCUGCUUGGCAUUCUUCUUCCGACUGGUACUGAACAUAUAUACUUGCCCCUCAGGUGAGGUUCCAAGUUGCAACUGACCUUGAACUGAAUCACUCUCCCCACGUUAUUUUUUAAUUACUAUUUUUUUUUAAAGAUGGGGUCUUGCUCUGUCGCCAGGCUGGAGUGCAGUGGCGCGAUCUAGGCUCACUGCAACUUCCGCCUCCCGGGUUCAAGCGAUUCUCCUGCCUCAGCCUCCCGAGUAGCUGGGACUCCACUAAAAGUACAAAAAUUAGCUGGGCGUGCACCACUGCGCCCAGCUAAUUCUUGUAUUUUUGGUAGAGACGGGGUUUCAACAUGUUGACCAGGAUGGUCUCGAUCUCUUGACCUCGUGAUUCGCCCGCCGCGUCCUCCCAAAGUGCUGGGAUUACAGGCCUGAGCCACCGCGCCCAGUCUCUCCCCACGUUCUUGAACUCGGGCAGCACAUCCUCACAGAAAUCUAGGAACUGUUGGUAGGUUUCUUCCUCGCUGUACUCCAGGCUUGCUUCGGAGUCAUAGUCAUCCCUCCUGCACUGCUCCUUUCCAAACACUGUAAACAUGCUUUUAAUAAGAAGGGUAGGACUGGAUGUUGGGAAAUCAUGUGAACAUCUAUCUCCAAAUCUGCAAGCUCCUGUUUUACUGUAGAAGGGACAAUUAACUCCAUCCUUCUCCAUGACUCUGAAAUCCAAGGGGGGGUUCCGGGUUUUGCCAUGUGGCGCCAUUUUCCAACUCAUUUUCAGCCUGAUCCAGCAUCUUCUGGACAGCUUCCGGUUUUUGUUUCUUCUGUCGUUUCUGUUCCUCCUCCUCUCUCUCUUUCCUCUGCUGUUCUUCCCAUUGUUCCUUUAACUUUCGCUCUUGUUCUUGCCGUUUUCUAGCCACCUCUUCCUUUUCCUUCUUUAUUCUGAAUUCUUCUUGUGCCUUCUGCUCUCUCAGCAACCACUCCUCAUGUAAUCUUUGCCUCUCUCUUCCCCAUAGCUUUUCUAGUUGUUGUUUUUCAAUAAAAGUGUCCUCCUCUUUCUGUGAGAGUCCUGAGUCCCUCAGUGGAGCAAGUUCCUGCUGGCGUUUCUUUCGUUUCUCCUUCUUCAGGGCGGCCCUGUACUUUUUGUGGCUUGGUUUCUCUGGAAAUGUCACCUUUUCGGGCGCAGCCAUCUUGCCGGCACCGCCCCGCCCCUCUAGUUGUAUCCUUUAUAAUAAACUGGUAAACAUUGUAACCGCAGAUUCAGCCCAAUCUGGUUCAACUUUGUGUAAUAAAAUGGCGAGUUGUUUUUCAGUUGUCGUGGACCCCCAGGUUGCAAGUUACAUACCCUGGGCAUGUCCAGAUGAACGAAGCGUGCAAAUCCACGUGGAACCUAAGUGCUCAGACCGAGGAACAGGGACUGAGUUAAGAAGUGGACACCACGUGGCAUGAUCCUUGAUCCAAUCAGAUUGAGCCCUGGCGUGAUCCAGUCAGAUCAAGCCUCCUGAAUCCCCUCAUUACAAGAUCCAAUCAUAUCAUGCCUCACUACCCUCUGUAUAUAAAAUCUGCCCCAGCCUCCAACUUGGAGAGACAGAUUUGGGCCAGACUCCUGUGUCCUUGCUUGGCUGCCUUGCAAUAAAUUUUUCUCUCUACAAAA